UACUACCUUAGUCUAAAUAGCAUAACAUGGAAAAGCAAGUGCAUUGAAUUUUUGGAAAAGAUAAAAUGACUUCUCAAUUUAUGAACCCAACAUCUGGAAUUCUCCAGAGCACUUCCUCAAAUCAAUAUUUUUCCAUUUGUUGAAUUUCAAUUGUUUUAGAUAAUGUCUUUGACAUCAUAUCAACUCAUUAGGAGAGUAUUAUUGUUUCACAAGAGAGUAAUUCUGUCAAAAGCAAAGCUAAGAUCACAAGGGAUCCAAACUCUAUUUUCAUGUAAAUAUAUUUAAUAAGGAGAAGAGGCAGAGGAAAAAGAGAAUGGGAGAUAAGUCAGUCUAAAUGGAAGAUGAGUGCUUCAGAUUAUUAGAGAGAUUAACAUAUAAUAUAUAAAGGUAUCUGGGCUAGUUGUAUCAAUUGAUUAGAUCCUAUAUCAAGCAUUGAUGAUUUGAUAUUUGCAUGGGUCACUAAGUUUUGCACAAUGGGGAGAAAAGUUUAACAGAUACUUCUCUGUGGUCAACAAACCAUUCUGAAUGCAUGAGGUGAUGGGGCAAAAAAUUGUUGAUGGCCCCACACUGUCAGUCAAUCCUAACCACUGGACAUCAACCCUAGGUGCUGGUCUCAUUUACAGUGGUCAGUAGUCUUUUGUGCCUAUGAAAACACAUGGUUAAUAUCGUUGGAAAGUCCAGAUUUUGCUGAUUACUUCACAUAGCAGGCACUUAAUAACGAUGUGCUGAAUAAAGGAAUGUCUGAUUUUAUGGACUCACAUGAAGCAGUCAUUAUGCAAUUGCACAGAUACUUGUCAUGAUAGAGAAUCAUGAAGGACAGAAGCAAAAAUCAGGGGUGGAGGUAGAAGAAGACUGAGAAAGCUUUCUACAGUUUUUCCUGAUUUCCCUUUUAUUUGCUCUAGCCAAGCAAUCUUGGCUAAGAGGGGAAAUGAGCUGAGAGCAUUUUGGACAGAAGGGGAAAGUGGAACAAAAGCACAGGGUACAAAGAGCUCUAAGAUGCAUAGCCCUGCAUCAAAAAGGAAAUACACUUUUCUCUCUGUUGUACCUCUUAUAUUGUCUUAAUGACUUCAAGUUAUUUUCAAGGAACCAGGAAAUGCACAGAGAUCCCUCACUCCCGCCACAACCAAGCCUACACCUUCAAUGCAUACCUACAUUGUUACGACAGAAUAAACUGUCACACAUUUGUUGUGUACCUACAUUUGUUGGGACAGAAUAAACUGUAGAGUCAAUUAUCUCCUGAAUAGUUUGCCAACCCUUGCUAAUACUACUAGACACUUAGGAUGAGGAUGUCCUUUUAGAUUUAAUAGAGCUCAUAAAAUAAUCACUCCACGUAAGUGAAUUUAAGGUUUUAAAGAGAAAUAUCUCAGUAAUUGGGCAAAAUCUUAUCAGUGCCUAGAGGGAAUGGAACUUUGUUUAAUUGUUUUAUUGAAAUAAGAACAGACACCCAACAAAGAAAUAGUAAGAAACGAGAAAUGCUGAAUUGGAAAGGAGUUUGCUUGGUAGUUAGCAAUGUAAAUAUACCUAUUUUUUAAAGUGCAGAAAAUAGCUGGUUGAAAGGAGAGAAUAAAAUUUCAUCUUUUAUAAUGUUGAUACUUAGAAUUUAUAUAAUAUCUCUGAUCUUUAUCACCAUAUCUAUAAUCCAAAAAAUUUCUGAAGGCGUUAGGAGGUGGUCAAUGUUAUUUUCAAUUUGCAAAGUAAUUAUUUAGCAAUAAAGAUUAUGUAAGGCCAGCACCAGCUGUGAAAUAAAAAAAAAAUGGAAACCAGAAUUGCGUAUUCAAAUUUACUAUGGAGUUUCCUAUAUACCCACUCCCUUUUAAACCAGCACCCACAUAAAAAAUUAGAAUGGUGGUCUGUUAAGAAUGACCAUCUGGGUGACUGUUCUCCCUUUUUCACUAAAUGCUAUGGUCUGAAUGUCUAUGCUGUCCCAAAAUUUAUAUGUUGAAAACAAAUAAUCAAUGUGAUGGUUUUAGGAGGUGGGGCCUUUGAGAGGCCAUUAUAUCAUGAAGGCAGAACACUCAGGAAUGGGGUCAGUGCCGUUAUAAAAGAUGCCCUGGAGAGACCUUUUGUCCCUUCUACCAGAUUGGAAAAGCAUUGGAAAAUUUGUCCAAAGUCACUCAACAGAUUCAUGAUGGAUCCUGGAUUCACAGCCAGCUUUACUUGGCAAUAAAAUUCAAGUCCUGUUCACAUCACAACACAUUUUUACCGAAAGAAAAAUAUGAUGUGUAGAUGUUUGGAGGCAUCCUAUCUUAAUGAGGCUUUUGUUAGAAAGAGUUUUCUUAAAAUUACAGGGUUGGGGAAAUAAAAAAUGUUUGUUGCUCAGAUUAACAAAAAAAUGGUAUAUAGAAAAUAAAGCUAAGAAAGGAAAGUGCAGACAACCAAGAGACUAGAAUUUUCAAUAAAUGGCAAAAUUGUGGUGUUCUGUGGUUACCUCUUGAAGAUUUGGCCUGAAUCAUGCAACAAUUGCCCCUUACCCUCAGUCCUCAAAUUACAAUAGUGAAAGAGGUUUCUAUAGGUAUUAUAUUUGAAUCUGCUAUAUUUUGUUUAUUACUUGCAAGGACAUAUAGGAGAGCAAAAGUUUUCCCUCUAAUUUCUUAGGUUUAGUAACUGGAACUUGUGAAUUAAACUGGCAAAAUACAGAUUAACAGGAGAAGAGUCAUAGACAUUUUAUUUUAAAUUUCAUAUGCAAUGUAGUUCCAGAGAAAAGAAGUGAAAGCCUGAAGAAGCAAUUAGACUUGAGGAGUUAUAUCUUUAACAAAGGGUGGUGAGUGUAGAGAAGUGACUAGAUUUUUUUUAAGAUGGUUUUAGGCUUCCAAGGGUGAUAAACCAUGGGAAGGAAAAUACAUGAGGGAAACUAAUGGUAUAUAGGAGUUAUUUAGUAAGGUUUGUUUACACAGACUAAUCUCAGUGGUAAGAACGGUUUUUCUCCUUUUUCUGGUCAGGGGAAGGAGAAGGGACACCAUCACAAUGGGAAUUUGUGCUUUGCUGGUAGACAAAUAGGAGCAGAGCAGAGAACUUCUUUCUCUCAAUUGUCUUCAGCUCAGAAUAAUCCUUAUGCCAAACAGGCAUAAUUUGGAAUUACAUAUUUUCAUCCUCUCCACACACAAGCUUCCGUAUAAAGUUCAAAGACAGUAGUAUUUUCUUAUAAUUCACUCUGCCCCAAAUAUUAACUAAGAUGACAUUCUUUUUCCAGCUUGAUUCUGCAACAUUCACUUCCAGAAACUUUAUCACUCUUAAUCCUGGAUUGAAGGAAAAUAUUUGAAUGUGAUAAAGGAUAUAUAUUUUAAAAAGAAAGGAACUAUAAUAAAAGGCAAGAUUCAGAAAUUAUGUUGUAAUCUGUGACUUAGUGCAAUUUAGUCCUUGAAUUUCUUGUGUGCAAUUUAUUGAAGCUAUCUUAUUAUAUGUUAAUUCUGUGUCUUCUUUGCCCUCUCUUUUUGUAAAAAUUUUCUUUUUCUGAAUUUUUUUCCAGAGUCAAUCAUUGAUCUUCUUGAUAACAUUCAUUUCCCUUGGUGAACUAACUUUGGUUCAUCGCUUUAUCAUUCUUCUCCAGGCUGUUUUUGAAGGGUCUGUGAGCUGAGAAUGGUUUUUAAUAGAUAAAUGCUCACAAUCAAUUUGGGGAUAAGAAAUAUUAUUUUGAAUCUCAGUUACAAAAAAUGUUAUCCUUCAUAAAAUAAUUCAUUUUUUUCUCAGUAAUAAAAAUGUAUUUCAAAAA